rnacentral:rRNA from 1 species
UGUAAAGCUCUUUCAGUCGAGAAGAAAAGGCUGCAGUGAAUAACUGUAGUUUAUGACGGUAUCGACAGAAGAAGCACCGGCUAACUACGUGCCAGCAGCCGCGGUAAUACGUAGGGUGCGAGCGUUAAUCGGAAUUACUGGGCGUAAAGGGUGCGCAGGCGGUUUUGUAAGUCAGAUGUGAAAUCCCCGGGCUUAACCUGGGAAUUGCGUUUGAAACUACAAGACUAGAGUGUGGCAGAGGGAGGUGGAAUUCCAUGUGUAGCAGUGAAAUGCGUAGAGAUAUGGAAGAACAUCGAUGGCGAAGGCAGCCUCCUGGGUUAACACUGACGCUCAUGCACGAAAGCGUGGGGAGCAAACAGGAUUAGAUACCCUGGUAGUCCACGCCCUAAACGAUGUCAACUAGUUGUCGGGCCUUACUAGGCUUGGUAACGAAGCUAACGCGUGAAGUUGACCGCCUGGGGAGUACGGUCGCAAGAUUAAAACUCAAAGGAAUUGACGGG